AGAAUCAACGCUGGCGGCGUGCCUAACACAUGCAAGUCGCACGAGAAAGGGGAGCAAUCCCUGAGUACAGUGGCGCACGGGUGAGUAACACGUGAAUCAUCUACCUUCGAGUGGGGAAUAACUGGGAGAAAUCUCAGCUAAUACCGCAUAAUACCUACGGGUCAAAGCAGCAAUGCGCUUGAAGAGGAGUUCGCGGCAGAUUAGUUAGUUGGCGGGGUAAUGGCCCACCAAGACGAUGAUCUGUAUCCGGCCUGAGAGGGCGCACGGACACACUGGAACUGAAACACGGUCCAGACUCCUACGGGAGGCAGCAGUGGGGAAUUUUGCGCAAUGGGGGAAACCCUGACGCAGCAACGCCGCGUGGAGGAUGAAAUAUCUUGGUAUGUAAACUCCUUUCGAUGGGGAAGAUAAUGACGGUACCCAUAGAAGAAGCCCCGGCUAACUUCGCGCCAGCAGCCGCGGUAA
rnacentral:rRNA from 1 species